UAAGUUGAUUGGUGGAAAAGAUAAUCCUAUCAUGUUGGAUAAGGCUCCUAGCUUUACUAUGGACCAUACUUCGUGGUCCGAUUAUGUUAUCUAGGAUGGAUCCGGAUUUGCUGCAGUUACUACAACACGCCGUGUAAGCAAGCAAACUCGGCCGUUGAGGCUGUUGAGAUGUUUGACAUAGUUAAUUGAUCUUGGUGGUCGAUUCAGAUGGACGGCCAAAAUGCAGUUACUGCGUCUAAUCCAAAUCUGUCAUCUAGAAACUAAUCUUGUUAUGUUAUAGAUUUUGUUUUUUUCUAAUUAGGUAAUUUUGGUUGGGGAAUUUUGUUUGUUUGUUGUAUAAGAGAGAAUCUAAGUUCUCCUGUUAACUACAAAAUGAUGCCUCUUAAACCAUGGAAUUAGUUAUAAGAAGAAGAGUUGCAUGUAGAAGUUUAAUAAUGUUAUGUUGUUGUAUGGUAUUAGGACCACUUUAUAUUUAUGUGGUAUAUAUAUAUGAAAAUGAAUUUUGCUUGUUUUGGCUGCUUUCAUUUCCUAUUAUUGUCUUUUUCCCCAUGUUUAUCAUUGUUGAAGUUUUUUUUUUGAAUUCAUCAUUGUUGAAGAUUUAAUUGAGUAGUAAUCUCAAUUAGCUGCAGUGAUAUACUGAGCCUAUAUUUGGUAUCACGUCAGAAUCAUGGUGAUACACCGUGAUUUUCCAAAAGCUACAUCUAUAGUUUCUGCAAAAUCAUGAUGCAUUUUGUCAUACUCGCUGUGAUACCAAACAUACACUGAUAUAACUUAAAAAGUUGAAUAGGAUGGUACAUAAUAUCUGUCUAAUACAAAAGAUUUACUCAAUAAUUUUUGAGUUCUGUAAUGAUA
rnacentral:lncRNA from 1 species